rnacentral:rRNA from 1 species
GUCGAACGAGAACGGGUUAUAGCUUGCUAUAAUUGUCAGCUAAGUGGCGCACGGGUGAGUAAUGUAUAGGUAAUAUGCCUUUUACUAAGGGAUAACAGAUGGAAACGUUUGCUAAUACCUUAUACUCCGUUUAUGUAUAAAUGUAAAUGGGAAAGAUUUAUCGGUAAGAGAUUGGCCUGUAUUGUAUCAGUUAGUUGGUGGGGUAAUGGCCUACCAAGACAAUGACGCAUAACUGGUUUGAGAGGAUGAUCAGUCACACUGGAACUGAGACACGGUCCAGACUCCUACGGGAGGCAGCAGUGGGGAAUAUUGCACAAUGGACGGAAGUCUGAUGCAGCAACGCCGCGUGGAGGAUGACACAUUUCGGUGCGUAAACUCCUUUUAUAUAAGAAGAUAAUGACGGUAAUAUAUGAAUAAGCACCGGCUAACUCCGUGCCAGCAGCCGCGGUAAUACGGGGGGUGCAAGCGUUACUCGGAAUCACUGGGCGUAAAGAGCAUGUAGGCGGAUUGAUAAGUUUGAAGUGAAAUCCUAUAGCUUAACUAUAGAACUGCUUUGAAAACUGUUAAUCUAGAAUGUGGGAGAGGUAGAUGGAAUUUCUGGUGUAGGGGUAAAAUCCGUAGAGAUCAGAAGGAAUACCGAUUGC